CAGUGGAGUUACUGUUACUUUU
rnacentral:miRNA from 1 species